GUUAAAAUGAGUUUCAGAUUACAAAACCAUGGAACAAACAACUAGAGGAAAAUUAUGAAGAUUAAGAGGAUGUACAAAAGCGAGCAACCGCAGGAAAGAGAUUCACGAGCGACCUCUUCCUUUCAAGUUUGACGAGGUUUGUUCGUUUCUCUGAUGCGGCAUCAGCGUCAGCAACCAAUAAUUAACAAAGAGGCGAAAAACUUUUUAACGGUUUGUUGAUAGUUAUCGCCGGUGACUGCAAUUGCUCGUCUUUUCCAUAUUUCUAUCGCCGCUGCAAAUUCCCACUCACGCAUUACGUGUUGCUAGCGUACAAUUGUUUCAUCUUCUAAUUCUCUAAUUUUAUUGGUUGCUGAGCUGUUAUUAAAAUUCCUUUGCAUUUUCUGAUCGUCGUUGUUGACACAGCGCAUUCCAGAAACGAACAAAUCUAUACUGUGAAGACUGAAAAGAAUGUGGGAAUUAUUAACAAACAACAAAACCAAGUUUUAUAUAUACUGUGAAGAUUGAAGAGAAUGUGAGAGUCAUUAACAAACAACAAAACCAAGCGAGGCUCGGCCUAGUGGUUUUGAGGAAACUUCGAUUUCAAUAUGGAUCCAGGUUCAAAUUCUACUAGCUAUUAGAGGUAAAAUUUAAAAUUUGGGUUUUCCUCUGGUGAUCGACACGUGCUUCGGCCGAUAAGGUAGACCGAUCAAAAGCUAUCCGGUCCGAUGGUGAUGAAACUGUCUUUUUCUUUUCUCUUAUAAUUUGACAACGAAACUCUCUCAUCUUAUCAUAGACAAACAAUUAGACGUUAUGUAUUGACUUAAGAUGUCUUAUCGAAAGCUAACCGGUCCAAUGGUGAUGAAACUGUCUUUUUCUUUUCUUUUAUAAUUUGACAACCAAACCAUCUUUCUGCCGUCAGUAUAUAAAACUUUCCCAAACAAAAAUAAAAUUGAAAAAAAAACAAGAGACACAACUUUAUUAUAUUUUUCCCCCAAAAGAAAAUCUUUUUUUUCCACAAGCAAGAAGCCACACAAAUUUUUUUUU